rnacentral:lncRNA from 1 species
CAUGCAUUAUUGACGGCCUAUGACCCUCAGGAAAAUACUCGCCAGUAAGCGUUAUUGACGGCCCAUAACCCUCAAUAACAUUAUUGACGGCCUGGGACCGCCAAUAUGCGUUUGUCAGCCUUGUUCUUUACUGACGGCCUGCAGCCGCCAAUAAAUGUUGUUUUUUUUUUAUAAAAAAAAUAAUUAAAUUUUAUGCUUCUGUUUUUUAAAACGAAAAUUAAUUUUAUUAUUAGAUUUUUUUAAAACAAAAAUUAAGCAUAUCCAAAUGAGAAUUAAGUAGAUCCAGACGGUUUUUUUUUUACUUCAAAAACUUAAUUUCCUCAGUUUUGGAAUUAAGCAGAUCCAAAUGUUAACUUCAAAAACGAGAAUUAAGAAGAGACAGUUCAAAGAAAAUAGAUCUUGAAUUUCAUUUCUCGAAAGAGUUCAAAGAAAUACAGAUCUGAAAUUUCGUUUCUUGACAGAGUUCAAAGAAAGACAGAUCUAGAAUUGUUUCUUGCGGUUGUUGAACGGUUGAGAAGGUGAAGAGGAUGGUGUUCUCUGUUGACAGAUCUGGAUCAAAGAAAGACAAUAGUGGGUGCCUGGUCUUCUUUGUUGGCAAAUAAUGAAAAUUGAAAGAGAAAGAGGUAGAAAAUUGAGAUUGAAAAAAAUUCAAACUUGAACAAAAUGAAAGAGAAAAGGUAGAAAAUUGAGAUGGAAAAGAAAAAAAAGAGAGAAGUGAUAGGUUAGGUUUAUGAGACACAAGAGAAAGAAUAAAAAUGAGUAUGAGAGAAGGGUGAACACGUGAUAUACAGUUUAUGAGAGAGAAAAGAGAAAAGUUUCUUGAUUUAAUUUUUAGGAUGCAUUAUUGACGGCCAGUAACACUCCAUACUGACGGCCUGUAGCCGUCAGUAAAGCCUACACGCUUUUUGAGCAAUACUGACGGCCUGUAGCUGUCACUAAUGGCCAGUCAGAAAAUUUUCGUUCUUCAAGAAAGGAAAAAUGCA